AAUUUGUGGCAUACGUGUGAAAACUACAGCUAUGCCGUUGCCUUAUAUUUUCUCAGUCAGCCAACUUACAAGAAAGUGCACAUACUGUAUCACGUAGGUGGCAAAUGUCUCACAGAAUGUCUGCAUCACACACACAGCGCAAGACAGCGCCGUAAUCCUCUUGGAUGAGCUCUGAAUUUUGGAGGUUGGAGGAUUUGCUCCAUCAAAGUCCAAAGACCACCCACUAGAACAGAAAUGACAAUAGCACUCAAAUCUGGACACUUCCUUUGGGCUUAUGCACCUCUAAAGCCCUGAUUCUAAUGGUCCACACAUACACUCAAAUAUGUCGAUGUGCAGCUCACAAGACAUGUUUAAGAGUGAGACGUUUUGUAUGAGAAGUGCUUGUGUAUGUGUGAGUUGUUGAACAUGCUAUUCUCGCUGCACGUACUGUAUGUGUCUGUGUGAACGUGCACGGGCCUGCAUUCAUCCACUUUAAUUGCUCUCUUUUUGAAGUGAAAAGAACAGAAGCUGUCUGUCAGAUUCACAGUGAAAUUUAAGCUAUUGCUGCCUUGAAAGUGCUUUUGAAAUCAAAGACAAAGGGCCCAAGAAGAUAGAAACUAAUAACAACAAGCAGCAGAAAUGUCCGGAUUUGGUGUUUUGGGCUGAAAUCGGCAUGCUUUUUUUCCCCCCGUUUUCACAAAAAUCUUAUCACAAAAGCUUUGGGCUCGUCUUCUCCAUCCUCCUUCUUGCUGGCAUUUUGUAUUUGUGUGAUUGAUUGCUUCCAAAGACUUUUUUUUUUUUUUUGCUUUGUGUUUUUUUAGAGAAUGACUCCAUUGUUAAAUGGUGAUUCUCUCUGUAAUUCUGCUUUUGAAGUAGUCUGGCCGUUUGUGGAAUCUAAUCUAAGAGAGAAAAGGGAACGCAAGAAGGAGAGAAAAGAAAGGCAAUGAGUAUACGGAGAUGAACAUAUGCACAGGGAGAUUUUCACACUUUUGCAUUGCCUACACAUGGAUGUGAAACCAAUGUUGCACAACAUAAACACAAUAUGGAAUAGUUAUCUUUUUUUGGAUGCGAGGACGCACGUUAGCACGUUAUGCCUUUAUGUGGUGAGAAUAUAGAUGAGCAGAAGGAGAUCUGGUGAGUCGUGAUCUCAAAAAACAGGGUUGUGGAUGGCAGGGGAAAAAAUGCUAAAUUGAAAACAUUACAAAGCAACUAAACAUAAAAUGUUGCAUAAUUAGAAUAGUUAAAUAAACAGACAUCGAUUUUUAAAAUCCCAUCCCUGUAUCUUUACAGGCUUUACAUCUAAUUGAGCACUAUGGUGUUUUGCCACUACUGUAUUUUCUUUAAUAUAUAUAUAUAUAUUAGUGCUGUCAAAAUUAGCGCGUUAACGCAUUCGAUUAAUUUGAAAUAUUUAACGCGUUAAAAAAAAAUAACGCAAUUAACGCGGUUGCAGUUUUUUUUUAUUUCCAGUUGUGGCCUAUGUGUGUUCAACGUGCAAAGAAAUAUGCAUAAGCAACCCGUUCUCAUCAGUCUGCGUAUAAAUAACACGACUUUACACUUUCUAUUUGCGUGUAAUGCAUACGCCAAAUGCCAUUUUUGCGUGCAUAUGAUACGCCAAUCCUUCCCAUUAAUUUCGGUGGAGAGCAGAUGCGUCCAAAUAACACGCAUCAUCUUCAGCGGCAGUGACGUCACUAGCGUGGCUCGUUCAGUUCACCUGAUGCGCGUACACCUUCAAACAGGUAAGCAAGGGUAAAUAUAUUUUUUUAUUCUUCUUUUUGUAAUGAUAUCACGUGGUUAAGCGUAUUGUUUUAAUUAUUUCAGUAUUUCUGCAUCACGUUAGACAGGGCCGUGUUUUUAAAGGGCAGUUUAUGCUCAAAUUAUGGGUCAGUGGGCUGCUCAGCUAGCCUACCAUUGUCAUUAGCCUAAGCUAACCUGUACUGUUUAUAGACCUGUUGCAGUUUUAAAUAAAUUUAUGAUGUGACAUAUGGGUCUUCAGCUUUUAGACAUGACUAAUACAAGCACAACAAAGCACCCAACCCAAUAUCGCGUGAUAAUCGUGAUCGUGUAAAAAGUCCACACAUUUAGCAUAUUUUUACAAUACUAGCCUAACUUUUGCUUGACCACGUCAUGUGUAGCCAAUACACACACAGUAACUACAGCAUAUUUACCAUGCUUCUCCUACUGUAACCGUAGUUUUACUCUGGACUUUGUAACGCACAUAACCACGACAUUUACUAUGGGUUUACCAUAGUAACCAUAGUUUUACUCUGGUAUUUGUAGUUACUAACACACAAUAACCACGACAUUUACUAUGGGUUUACCAUAGUAACCAUAGUUUUACUCUGGUAUUUGUAGUUACUAACACACAAUAACCACGACAUUUACUAUGGGUUUACCAUAGUAACCAUAGUUUUACUCUGGUAUUUGUAGUUACUAACACACAAUAACCACGACAUUUACUAUGGGUUUACCAUAGUAACCAUAGUUUUACUCUGGUAUUUGUAUUUACUAACACACAAUAACCACGACAUUUACUAUGGGUUUACCAUAGUAACCAUAGUUUUACUCUGGUAUUUGUAGUUACUAACACACAAUAACCACGACAUUUACUAUGGGUUUACCAUAGUAACCAUAGUUUUACUCUGGUAUUUGUAUUUACUAACACACAAUAACCACAACACUUACCAGGAUUUUACCACAGUAACUGUUUUUACUCUACACUAUUUGUAAAGCACAGUAACCACUAAGUUUGCCAUGCCUUUAAUAUCUUUUUGUGAUGUAAUUGUAAUUCAGUGUUUUUUCUGUCUUGCAGUUACGUCGGAUUACAUACUCCACAACAACCUGUAAUCCAGCAGAUCUUUAAAGAAGCCAUCUCUUGUCAAAUCUCUCUCUCUCUCUCUCUCUCUCUCUCUCUCUCUCUCUCGCUCUGCUAGAAUUAACAGGGAACUUCAACUCCACGCUCCCAAUGCUGAUAUUGAAGAAGCUGUCAAGGGGGCUGAACAAGUCCUUCAAAGGAUCAACCCUUCACAGGAAGGCCUGUCAUGAGAUUUGAAUUUGACCAUCUUGUGCAUUUAUGAAGAAGACCAAAAGCUGCAAAGGCAAACACUUCCAAUGGCAGAAACUGAGAGUUUGCAUGAUGGCAUUUUCUCAGACGCUGAAUCUGAUGUGUACAGAUGAACUCAGGAGCCUACUAGAGUUGCCAAGGAACUUGUGAUUGAACUGAAGACCAGAAACGCAAAGAAAAUCAGUCAAACCAGUCCUAAAGAAAUGAGGAAUGAACAUGGACUUCUUGUGCCCCAAAAGAAAAGACAGAAAGCUCCUAAAAUGAGCAAAUAAGCUGUGCAUCAUCUCUGUGAUUUGGGAAGGAAAUGACUGAAUAUGAUGAAGCCAAUUGAUGAAGAUAUCAAUUGAAUGGCCACCGAGUGCAUCACUGCUACCUGAACCCAUCAGUUAUCUUCUGUGAAGACUGCAUUCACAAACCGCUCUACUGCAACAGCUCAGAUGUUACGGCCUGUAAAAGUAAACAUCACAGCUAAACAACGAGAGCUAGUUGUGGUGGGAUUCUUUUGGCCAAUAUCCCCAACAAGAAUCAAUGACAUCUAGACCAGGUGGAGUGUGAGGAGGACCGUCAGAGACUCCAGCCAGCCGAGCCAUGGAUUGCUCUCACUGUUACCAUCAGGCAGACGUUAUCACAGAACCUACACCAGCAGACAGUGAGACAAGUUCCUUUCACAGGCAAUCAGACUGAACUGAACUCAUACCAGUAAAACCAUACCCACCCCACCAACCUCAUAUGCCCUGCACUCUUAUCAGUUAUGCUGACUGGACUCAAUAUUAUUAUGCACCCUGACAUUCUGUUUGCACUAAUUCAUACCGUGCUUUACUGCAGAGAUGUAUGUGUACUGUGAUUAUUAUUGUUUUCAAUUCAUGCUCUUUGUAUAGCAUAAUUUUUAACAUAUAUUGUUCUCUACCUGAAUUGAGUCCCUUAUAUAUGUGUGUUUCAUAUAUAUAUAUUCAGAAUUUGUAUUUCAUAUAUAUUCAUGAAUUAAUUCAUUUGUCAUCCAUACUGUCACGCUGCAGUCUGCACCCAAGACUUUCAUCACCUAUAUACUUGUGUUCAUUGUAUUGUGACAAUAAAGAUAUUUGAUUUAAAUUA